rnacentral:rRNA from 1 species
AGUGAACGCUGGCGGCAGGCCUAACACAUGCAAGUCGAACGGCAGCACAGCAGUAGCAAUACUGUGGGUGGCGAGUGGCGGACGGGUGAGGAAUACAUCGGAAUCUACCUUGUCGUGGGGGAUAACGUAGGGAAACUUACGCUAAUACCGCAUACGACCUACGGGUGAAAGCGGAGGACCGCAAGGCUUCGCGCGAUAAGAUGAGCCGAUGUCGGAUUAGCUAGUUGGCGGGGUAAUGGCCCACCAAGGCGACGAUCCGUAGCUGGUCUGAGAGGAUGAUCAGCCACACUGGAACUGAGACACGGUCCGGACUCCUACGGGAGGCAGCAGUGGGGAAUUUUUCGCAAUGGGGGAAACCCUGACGAAGCAACGCCGCGUGGAGGAUGAAGGCCUUCGGGUCGUAAACUCCUGUCGACCGGGAAGAAUGCACACGACCUAAUACGUCGGCGUGUUGACUGUACCGGUGGAGGAAGCCACGGCUAACUCUGUGCCAGCCGCCGCGGUAAAAC